rnacentral:rRNA from 1 species
UACGUAGGGUGCAAGCGUUAAUCGGAAUUACUGGGCGUAAAGCGUGCGCAGGCGGUUAUGUAAGACAGGUGUGAAAUCCCCGGGCUUAACCUGGGAACUGCAUUUGUGACUGCAUAGCUAGAGUACGGUAGAGGGGGAUGGAAUUCCGCGUGUAGCAGUGAAAUGCGUAGAUAUUGGGAGGAACACCGGUGGCGAAGGCGACCGCCUGGACGAAGAUUGACGCUGAGGCGCGAGAGCGUGGGGAGCAAACAGG